rnacentral:rRNA from 1 species
AUUGAACGCUGGCGGCAUGCUUUACACAUGCAAGUCGAACGGUAACAGGCCGCAAGGUGCUGACGAGUGGCGAACGGGUGAGUAAUGCAUCGGAACGUGCCCAGUCGUGGGGGAUAACGCAGCGAAAGCUGCGCUAAUACCGCAUACGAUCUAUGGAUGAAAGCGGGGGACCGUAAGGCCUCGCGCGAUUGGAGCGGCCGAUGUCAGAUUAGGUAGUUGGUGGGGUAAAGGCUCACCAAGCCAACGAUCUGUAGCUGGUCUGAGAGGACGACCGGCCACACUGGGACUGAGACACGGCCCAGACUCCUACGGGAGGCAGCAGUGGGGAAUUUUGGACAAUGGGCGCAAGCCUGAUCCAGCAAUGCCGCGUACAGGAAGAAGGCCUUCGGGUUGUAAACUGCUUUUGUACGGAACGAAACGGUCCGGGUUAAUACCCUGGGCUAAUGACGGUACCGUAAGAAUAAGCACCGGCCAACUACGUGCCAGCAGCCGCCGUAAAAC